GAUGAACGCUAGCGGCAGGCUUAACACAUGCAAGUCGAGGGGUAAUCUAGCAAUAGAUGAGACCGGCGCACGGGUGCGUAACGCGUAUGCAACCUACCUUUUACAGAGGGAUAGCCCAGAGAAAUUUGGAUUAAUACCUCAUAGUAUAUGUCUUUCGCAUGUUAGACAUAUUAAAGUUCCAACGGUAAAAGAUGGGCAUGCGUCCUAUUAGCUAGAUGGUAAGGUAACGGCUUACCAUGGCAACGAUAGGUAGGGGUCCUGAGAGGGAGAUCCCCCACACUGGUACUGAGACACGGACCAGACUCCUACGGGAGGCAGCAGUGAGGAAUAUUGGACAAUGGGCGCAAGCCUGAUCUAGCCAUGCCGCGUGCAGGAAGACGGUCCUAUGGAUUGUAAAGCACUUUAAGUUGGGAGGAAGAGUUGUAAGCUAAUAUCUUGCAGCUUUGACGUUACCAACAGAAUAAGCACCGGCUAACUCUGUGCCAGCAGCCGCUGUAACAC
rnacentral:rRNA from 1 species